CCGCGGAAACCAUGCUUGUUUGUGUGUGGUUUGGUAGGGGAGCGUCGUGUGCUCGUGGAAGCUGCUGGGUGACUGGUGGUGGAGGGUAUGCGAGUGAGAAUGCAGGCAUGAGUAGCGAAUGACAAGUGAGAAUCUUGUCCGCCGGAUGACUAAGGGUUCCUGGGUUAAGCUUUUCUUCCCAGGGUGAGUCGGGGCCUAAGGCGAGGCCGUCAGGCGUAGUCGAUGGAUAACGGGUUGAUAUUCCCGUACCCGCUUUGGUUCGCCCAUGACGAGCCCAGGAGUGCUAAGCGCCGCGAGCCUUCGAAGCCUUCGGGUGGAGGAGGGGAGUCGCGCGACCCCUGCUGGUAGUAGUCAAGCGAUGGGAUGACGCAGGAAGGUAGUCCAGCCCAGGCGUUGGUUGUCCUGGGGUAAGGGUGUAGGGCGAGAGAUAGGCAAAUCCGUCUCUCAUGAGCCUGAGACCUGAUGCCGAGCCGUUCGAGGCGAAGUGGAUGAUCCUAUGCUGUCGAGAAAAGUCUCUAGCGAGAACCAUGGCGGCCCGUACCCCAAACCGACUCAGGUGGUCAGGUAGAGAAUACCAAGGCGAUCGAGCGAACUAUGGUUAAGGAACUCGGCAAAAUACCUCCGUAACUUCGGGAGAAGGAGGGCCUCAGAUCGUGUAGCCGCUUGCCGGCGAAGCGGUAGGGGGUCGCAGAGACCAGCGAGAAGCGACUGUUUACUAAAAACACAGCUCCAUGCGAAGUCGCAAGACGAUGUAUAUGGAGUGACGCCUGCCCGGUGCUGGAACGUUAAGGGGACGGGUCAACUCCUUCGGGGGUGAAGCUCAGAACUCAAGCGCCAGUAAACGGCGGUGGUAACUAUAACCAUCCUAAGGUAGCGAAAUUCCUUGUCGGGUAAGUUCCGACCUGCACGAAUGGCGUAACGACUUCUCGACUGUCUCAACCAUAGGCUCGGCGAAAUUGCACUACGAGUAAAGAUGCUCGUUACGCGCGGCAGGACGGAAAGACCCCGGGACCUUUACUACAGCUUGAUAUUGGUGUUCGGUUCGGCUUGUGUAGGAUAGGUGGGAGACUGUGAAGCUCACACGCCAGUGUGGGUGGAGUCGACGUUGAAAUACCACUCUGGUCGAACUGGAUGUCUAACUUCGGUCCGUGAUCCGGAUCAGGGACAGUGUCAGGUGGGUAGUUUAACUGGGGCGGUUGCCUCCCAAAAUGUAACGGAGGCGCCCAAAGGUUCCCUCAGCCUGGUUGGCAAUCAGGUGUCGAGUGCAAGUGCACAAGGGAGCUUGACUGUGAGACAGACAUGUCGAGCAGGGACGAAAGUCGGGACUAGUGAUCCGGCACUGGCUUGUGGAAGCGGUGUCGCUCAACGGAUAAAAGGUACCCCGGGGAUAACAGGCUGAUCUUGCCCAAGAGUCCAUAUCGACGGCAAGGUUUGGCACCUCGAUGUCGGCUCGUCACGUCCUGGGGCUGGAGAAGGUCCCAAGGGUUCGGCUGUUCGCCGAUUAAAGUGGCACGCGAGCUGGGUUCAGAACGUCGUGAGACAGUUCGGUCC
rnacentral:rRNA from 1 species